AGAGUUUGAUCCUGGCUCAGAAUCAACGCUGGCGGCGUGCCUCAGACAUGCAAGUCGAACGAUUAAACUUUCCUUCGGGAAAGAUAUAAAGUGGCGCACGGGUGAGUAACACGUAAGUAAUCUACCUUUGAGUGGGGAAUAACCCGGGGAAACCCGAGCUAAUACCGCAUAAUGCAGCGGCACCGCAAGGUGACAGUUGUUAAAGGAGCAAUCCGCUUAAAGAGGAGCUUGCGGCAGAUUAGCUAGUUGGUAAGGUAAUGGCUUACCAAGGCUACGAUCUGUAACCGGUCUAAGAGGACGGUCGGUCACACUGACACUGAAUAACGGGUCAGACUCCUACGGGAGGCAGCAGUCGGGAAUUUUGGGCAAUGGGCGAAAGCCUGACCCAGCAACGCCGCGUGAAGGAUGAAGUAUUUCGGUAUGUAAACUUCGAAAGAAUGGGAAGAAUCAAUGACGGUACCAUUUAUAAGGUCCGGCUAACUACGUGCCAGCAGCCGCGGUAAUACGUAGGGACCAAGCGUUGUUCGGAUUUACUGGGCGUAAAGGGCGCGUAGGCGGCAAUUCAAGUCAUCUGUGAAAUCUCCGGGCUUAACUCGGAACGGUCAGAUGAUACUGCUUUGCUAGAGUGCAGAAGGGGCAAUCGGAAUUCUUGGUGUAGCGGUGAAAUGCGUAGAUUCAAGAGGAACACCUGAGGUGAAGACGG
rnacentral:rRNA from 1 species